rnacentral:lncRNA from 1 species
UACACUAAAAAAAUUAAAACUUCGUUGUGGCGGCCUAGUAUAUGAGAUUGGUGUGGGUUAUCCAAAUUCAGCUAUAUAUGUCACAUUGAAUGAUCAAGCUUUUCACCGGCACAAGCUUUGUCUCCGCUGCAUCAAAUCAAGGAGAUACGUUGUCGAUUCAAUGAAAAUACGGAGCUAUAUCCAAAAAAAGAAUUGAGUAAAUACAUGAUAAUCAUGUGUAAAAACGUAACAGAGGAUUAGCGUCACCCGCUUGUUUCAACAGUUUCCCAAGAAAGGCCCCAGGAUACGCAACAUAUAUAUCUUAGUUAAACAACUUAGUUUCAGAGAAAGUAAACAACGUAAGUUGUCCUAUGUUAACACAAGCAUACAAUUUUAUACGUAUGCCAAUUUAGCGGUUACCAUAUUUUCAACACACUAAUAUCACUUUGAGGAACAAAGUAGGAACAUCUCAUCUUCGAUAGCUACUGAUUAAUUCAUAACUACAAGUAUGUUCCAAAGUAAAGAAAAAAUUAACUGUUAAUUUUGGGGAGAAGCAACAAUAAAUAGGCAGAUUGGAUAUUUUUUUAUAAAUCUAGAAAAUUUUCAUGAGUAAUAACACUUUUGAGUUUUCGUAGGUGAUCUCUUUCCAAAUUCAAAUAGAUUUUAGGAACUUUUACAUUCUAGAAUGAAAAGUUUUGCGUUUAUGACUGGAAUUUCUUUUCGCAUGUGCUAAAUCGGUUAUCAAAAAGAGUACUCAUGAGAAAACAGAGCAAAUUUGCUACAUAUUCGGAUAUUCUGUCGAUUUUAUUUCUCAAUAUCGUACUCAAAAGGAGAGUCCAUAAUUUUUAUAUUGGUAGUAGUGGAAAUGACCUAAGCAUUUCCAAUCUCUACAAGAAGGUUAUACACAUCGUUUUUUAUAACAUACACUACACAACUCCCAAAACUCCUCAACGGUGAGGAACUCUCCCCUAUGCCUUCUACCAAAUUCAUCUCUAUAUACAUGAGUUCAAACUCCAUAACAAAAUGAAUAACUUUUGUACAGUCAAAGACUAACAAUAACUUGUAAACAACCAAUUAUAUAUAUCAAGAAAUGCAGUAAUUCAUACGAACAUCAUUAAAAGAUCGAAAUUUGAUACACAAAAAAAUAAUUAAAAAAAAUUCAUCUAUUAUAUAGAUUAGAAGAUUUUGAAAAUGAUAAAGAAGUUGAAUGUCGUAGAAUUUAGAGAGAAUUUAUCAAAUUCAAGAGAAGAAUAAAAAAAAGUAUACAAAUAACCCAAACAACAAACGCAGUUAGAACCUACAACUUGACAAGCCAGAAGAUGAGCUCUUUGAUAACAGGUGGUACCUACCAUGUUUAUUUAAAGCAUGAAUAGAAAUUUCUAGAGAGAGAUAUUUUUGCACUUGUGUUUGAUAUUUCGCCACGUGGAGAGAAAUUAGGGAACAAGUACAAUAAAAUUAAAUAUGGUGUCAAUAAACGUUAAAGAUAGUAGUUCCAGAUUUGUGUACAAUAAUGAUAACCAUACUUCAAAAGAUCAUUCUAGAUCUGCUAUAAAAGAGUGUAUCCUUUUCUCAUUUUUGUUUUCCUUUCACGCUUUCUUAACAACAAUUUUCCUUCAAAAACAAUUAGGCAAUUUAUCGUUUCAUUGAACAAACUACAAAGUAAUCGAAUUUUUUUAUUAAAAAACAAAAUAUCUAGAUACAAAGAAAGUUGGAUAAUUCUUAUGGAUUUUCAUUAACAAUACAUUGCGAAUUGAGAUUGAUUUUUUAAAUCUUUUUCCCUUUUUCAAAAAAUGGAGUAAAAGAGAAAACCAUCGAAUGUAGAUGUGUUGUAAGCUUUGAAGGCAAAGUAACAUAUAGAAAUUUAAAAGAAAAACGUACCUUUGAUUUAUUGAACGGAAAGAGUGCAUUUUUAACAAAAAGAUUGUUGUGAAAGAGAGGAAAUUGAAGAGAGUGUGCUGAACAAGAUUUUAAUGGAAGCUCCUGCCUCCUUUGCAAGAGAGAGAGUGGGCGAUUUGGAGGUUAUAUAAGAUGAAAAUACUAUUUUACCCGUAAAGAUUUUUUCUAAAGUGCCAUUGAUCUGCCUAGAUUUGGCGUUUAGUAAUUUUCUAAUUUGUGGAUCUGAGGCAG